AGCAGCGCAUCUUAUGUUAGGGCUGUUGAACCUCACUCUUGGGUCUUCUAUUCGAUAUAGAGGCUCUCGUGGUCCGGAAGCAGUGCCCUGGAAGGACUUAAGAAGAAUCCGGAAGAAAGGUCGGCAGCUCCAUGAACUGCCAGUCCCACUCCUGUGGUUCAUACCCACAGCUGUAACCUAUCUAGUUUUAUUUUUCUCAGAUCUCACGAGAUACCAAGCCAAUUCUGAGAAGUACUCCAGUGUGUGUAAAAGAUAAUGCUGAAUGGAGUCUUUUCGAUGAGCGAGUCCGUAUCUGCCAGUUCCUGGGCCACAGCUAAAGAUGUCUUGAAAAGGAAACAGCUGAAUAAUUCAUUUUCUAAUAAUGAACUGUGGAGCAACUUGAAAUCUAAGACCAAGGAGAGAAAUCACAGUUCCCAAAGGAAAGGAAAAGGCUUGCAGGCUAUACCAGGUGUCAUGAUGGUCUGGCCUCUGCUUCUGUGAGGUCCAUACCCAGUGACUCAGGCAAUAGAAGAAAUUGGGAGAAAAAAACAAAUAAACGUGUG
rnacentral:lncRNA from 1 species